ACGGCUCAGUAACACGUGGAUAACCUGCCCUUGGGUCCGGCAUAACCCCGGGGAACUGGGGAUAAUUCCGGAUAACGCACAUAUGCUGGAAUGCUUUAUGCGUAAAAUGGAUUCGUCUGCCCAAGGAUGGGUCUGCGGCCUAUCAGGUAGUAGGGGGUGUAAUGUACCUACUAGCCUACGACGGGUACGGGUUGUGAGAGCAAGAGCCCGGAGAUGGAUUCUGAGACAUGAAUCCAGGCCCUACGGGGCGCAGCAGGCGCGAAAACUUUACAAUGCGGGAAACCGUGAUAAGGGGACACCGAGUGCCAGCAUCCUAUGCUGGCUGUCCAGGUGUGCAAAAUACACCUGUUAGCAAGGGCCGGGCAAGACCGGUGCCAGCCGCCGCGGUAACACCGGCGGCCCGAGUGGUGAUCGUGAUUAUUGGGUCUAAAGGGUCCGUAGCCGGUUUGGUCAGUCCUCCGGGAAAUCUGACAGCUCAACUGUUAGGCUUUCGGAGGAUACUGCCAGACUUGGAACCGGGAGAGGUAAGAGGUACUACAGGGGUAGGAGUGAAAUCUUGUAAUCCCUGUGGGACCACCUGUGGCGAAGGCGUCUUACCAGAACGGGUUCGACGGUGAGGGACGAAAGCUGGGGGCACGAACCGGAUUAGAUACCCGGGUAGUCCCAGCCGUAAACGAUGCUCGCUAGGUGUCAGGCAUGGCGCGACCGUGUCUGGUGCCGCAGGGAAGCCGUGAAGCGAGCCACCUGGGAAGUACGGCCGCAAGGCUGAAACUUAAAGGAAUUGGCGGGGAGCAC
rnacentral:rRNA from 1 species